GGAGGACAUGUAAGGUAAGCGUGUCCUGGCCCAGAGAGCGGGCUUGAAGAUGAGGUCAGACUGAUGCUGUAAGACAGGACGCUUGUGAGGUCCACGCACCUGAAGGGAGAGCGCCCCCAAGGGUGUUUGCUUCAGCCGGAAGCAGAGGGGGAAGGCAGUCCUGGAUCAACUGCCACCGAGAGCGAAUGCACCUCUGGGUCAGUUCUUCGAUCACAAAGUCCAAAAUCCGUGUGGUCAAUUACUUGGAGGCACCGGGCCGUCCUGAAACCUUUCCUUGUCUGAGGAGGACCUGAGAUCCCAUGGAGAACUCAAGCCAAAGAGAGAACUGAGCCCAGUGAACAAUUCAGAGAGAUCACCAAAAGGAGGCCAAACGUGGAAAAGAAACAGCUUGGGGAAAUGUGUUUGCUCACAGUGCUUUUGGGGAAAAAAAAUCCACAUUUCCAUCAGCCAGAGGCCCCAGGUGGAGGCUGAUCGGGAAGUCUUAGAAAUUCGUGCAAACAUCUCAAAUUGAAGGGGAAAAUUAAAAAUUGAUGAAGAAACUCAGGAUUUAUAAAUUGCUCACCUAGAUCAUUCCUGCCCAGAAAUCCUUACCUGUGUCUGGAUUGCCUCCCAUGGCUGUGCACAUCACUCGGGAUCGUUGCCAGACCCAUCCUUCAUCUGAUGCUCGUGGGGACAGUCGGGGGAAGAAGUUAAUUACGCUCCAUUUUUACAAAAUUUACCAGCACAUAUGGCUGGAGGGUAUCCAUAAAUAAUUAACAAGUGAACACAUCAAACCAAAACAGAAAAAUGCCUUCUAGGCUACAUUUGAUGAAUUGCUUUUAUUCUCGGUUUGCUAAUUAGAAAAUCUGCAAAGUUUCCCUUUUGCUUGUCGUAACUUAGCCAACAUCUUCAGUGUUGUGUUGUGCAGUUUUUAUAUAGUUACGUGAAACAGUUUAUUGGUCCUGAAAGGGUCUAACAGUGUCUGUAAUUGACUAGAUGUCAGCGAAACAUGAAAUAUUUAUCCACAGGUUUAAUAACAUGCCAGAGCCUAAAUGAGCCAAGUACAAAGAUCUAUGGUGAGGCUCCUAGCUUUGAAAUGCCAGAUGGUUCUCUUCAGUUAUGUCAUAAAGUCCACAGGUGUGGCAUGCACUGGCCAGAAGAUGGAACGAGAACACGUGAACAGCCCACAACCUUCGCCGGAAGGAUAGGUCCGACCAGGGUCACCGGUAUAAACUUGGCUAUAACAAAUAAUAAAGAUUCACUUUGGAAACUCAACUGUUUUUAUGUAGAAAUAAUAUAUGUUGAGGUCCCAUGAGGGCAAAGCACAAGGAGAUCCCAAAAACCCUUCAGAGGAGCCCACGGCCUCUUCUCAUCUGUAAUUAGCCGCUCGGAGUCCUUGGGUCUCUAGCUGACGGGCCACCGAGCGAGCCCUUGGCUGUAUGUGGGUCCCGGUGGAAAGAGGAAAACCCUCUGAGCGUAGGUGAAGGAAGAAGCAAGUGAGCCCUUGGAUCCACAUCCUGAAUGGGGUCCUGAGCUCUGGACCCCCUUUGUGAAGGGAGCAGGUUUGCAUCGCUAAGCAACCAGGACGUCAGCUCCCAGUCCUGCUCUUUUCAACUGGGCCACACAGCUGCUGAAGAAAGACCACAGAAUCCACACUCAGAAUCAGGGCCUGAUGAGCAGUCGUUCCUGCAUUCCUCUACGCCAAGUCCGUCUCAGGGACAAGCCUAUAGAAGUCACCCCCAGAACUGGAGGGUGGCCCCAGUGCAGGCCCCCAUCCCGGGACCCACCCCUUCUUGAGACCACCGGGGUCCAGGGCCGCUGGGAACGGUGAGUAUGCAUUCUGACCAUUGGGGGCACUGUCCAGUCUAGCCUUCAUCAGCAUUCCUUCCCGACCUGGGUUGCAUUGCUUCCACCCACUUCCAAUCCAUAAAAUGCAUAGAGCACCCACCAUUUGCUAGGUUGUCGCUAUACGAGGGUAAACGGGAUAAACACAAUUCCUGAGAUGAAAGUUAUCAAAGAGAGAGAGCUUAACGGAAGUGUACACCAUAGCGAGUGGGGAAAUUCAGCUGAAUUCAACCAAAACGUUGGAAGGCCAAUGUUUUCCAAGAACUGAGAGAUGCUCAGGUCAUAAGACUGAUCAAGAUAGUCUCCCGGAACGCACAUGGCUGUAAGGUAGCAGAGAACGGUUUUUUCCAUGAAGUAAGUAUGAAGCAGUGUGGGCCCCAGAGGAGGGACGCAAGUCCCCACAGUGGGGAGAAAGGAGUGGCAUCAAGUUGGAACCCAGGAGGGGUGUGACGUGCAGAGGAGGAGGAGCUCCAGGCUGGGAAGGCAGCCAAGCCAUCGAGGCCCUGGCCGCAGCUAGUGCCUUGUGUCCAGACUCUGGGCUCAUGACCCUCCCGGGAGGGGCUGGGACCUGGAGGCUGAGAGACAGCUCUCAGCUGAGCAAGGGGGCUGAGGACUCAUGAUGGAGGCCGUGAAUGCCGUGCUAAGACGUGUGGCCUUCAGACAUACGCAGGCAGCUGCUGCUGACUGCUCCCCCGUAGGUGGAAACCCUGCCUUCUUACAUUAUUCAUAAAGGGGCAAAUUCAGCUCUGUGAGUCCUGGGACCGUGGAUAGAAUUUUCAUCUCAACUCAAUCCUGUUCCACCAGUGUUUACUGAAGGCGAACACAUGCUCAGGAGUCUGGGGGCAAGGCGUUGUUGGAGUGGCCUUUGCCCUGGGAACCUGGACGUUUUGAUGGUAGAGCAGAACUUUCCUUGUAAUCUACACACACAAAAAAAUAGCACCUGGGCUCUGAUUUCAAAUAAUAAAAAAUGGUUCUGGGUUUAACGCAAUCCCAACUUUUUUGCAGAAGAACGUGUAUGUAGUAUGCAGGAAGUCAUUUCAAGUCGGCCAACUUAAAAAAUGCGGCGAAUUAUAUAUAUACAUAUAUUUUUUUAAUGUGAGAAGCAAUCUGUGUUCCAUAUAAACUAUGCCACAACUGUAUGCUAUAAAAUACACAUCAGGAAAAAAGGAUGAUCAUUUCCAAGAACGACUCUUCUCCAUAGACUGGCUUCACCUACCUAGAAAAAUUAUACAAGAGGCCAACAGCUACUGUUGGUUCCUAUUUAAUAAAAAUGGAAUGCUUUGUAUGCCUAAACAACUAACUUCUAAAUCUGAAAGCCGCCUUGCUAAGCGGUGUAAAAUAUCUGUUGUGCAUUUGAGUUUUACAUUCACAACAACAGAGCACAUGGUUUUUUAUCUAUUUGCAGUACUACUGAAGGUGAGUCUAUCAGUAGCAAAAAAGUUAGCAAAACCACAUUUCACAAGAGACACAUGCAAAUAUGGGCUAGAGUGAAUCCCCAGCAAUUCCCCAUCAAGGCAGGGGAAAUAUUUUUGGAAUUUUUGAAAUCCUAAAAAUCGAAGUCUUUUGAGAGAAAUAUGUGCGGUUUUCUUUCUUUCGUCUUUCCACACGUAAGAUACAGGCAGAAACACUGGUCCGGUCCAGUGACUGGUGUUGCUUCUCUACGUAGGCAGAAACUGUGAGUUUGCAGGGUCUGGUUUCAAAGUCACCCAAGUGUCCCUCUGCUUCCCCCGAGAAUCCGUCCUCCCUCCAUUCAGUGACAAUGACGUGCAUGCGUUUAAUUACGUGGCUUCAUACUACAGCUGGAUCCCAGCGCACGUGGAAAGUAGCCUGGGGUGUCUGUGCUUUUGAGCAGCGGAAAGUGCUAAAAAGGUAAAGUCUCAAUAAAAAGAAUAGACUUGGAUUCUUUUUUGUGGGCCUGUCUUGGGAGGAAGAAAGAGUGAGAAGUAGCAGUCUGACGGGCUCUGGAUGCUGGGAGCCAGCCCCUCCUACGUAACUCCUGCUCAGAAAUCAGUCUAAGAGGAACAAUGGGCCCGCAGAGGAGUUCUCAGGACUCACAAUUCCCGAGGUGGUGGAACACUUUGUGCUCGGCUGACUUCCCUCCCACGGGGCCCCGUGUGCCCGAGAACAUCAUCAAGGUAUGGGAAAAAGAAGGCCUUGCAUCUUCCUAAGCCGGGAGAGUGUGUGGCCAGGGCUGAACCAGACGCCAAGACACCGUAAAACCCCAUAAUUAUAACAACGACUUAAUCAUACGUUUGAAUGUGGCUUCUGAAGAGUCAGGUUGUUCCUGCUCUUUCGAUCCUAUUCCCGCUCUGAUUACAUCAGCUGUGUUACAGCCAACAGAAGCCACGGGAACCUUGAUUGCUCAGAAAUGUGUGUCUUUUGCAGCACAUGACAAGGAGAGUUUCGCCUCCACCUGUUCCAGCCCGGGGAAAAUGGGGAAAUGGUGGUUCUGCAGCAACGCGUGCUGUUUUCUCCGUCCAGGCGAGGGCUGUGACCUUAGGAACGCUCCAGUGGGUGACACCCACAGUUGCAGAGCUGGACACACAUCGACAGGACGUUGGCCUCCGUGGCCUGCUGCUACAGGUGGUGAUGGAGCAGCCGCUCCAUUGGCCUCCAGGCCCAGCGUCCACUCAGCUGUGCUUGGUCCCGGGUUCCUCCAGCAGAGUUAAGGCGCCUUCCUGGCAGGACUUCCUCUAAUAACAGAGACAAAGCACACGGCCUUCAUCCUCUGGGCUGGGGCGUCCCCUCUCCCUUGGCGGUGGCUUGGGGAACAGCGCCUGCAUUCUAGUUUCCUUCUGACAGUUUGAUGUGGAGCCCGACCUUUAUCUCAUGGAAUGCCCGGACAGGGACAGUCUCUACCAAGCCCCAUGGACAAAUGAGCCCUUCCCAGUGUCCGUAGGUGUGUGGCGGCACACCUGUCGAGGACACGCCCACUUCACAGAGCCCCUCCCGAACAUCUUAGCCUUCCACCUGAGAGAGCAUCUGGAAAUGCCAGUGGGAGAUCACGACGCUGUCGAUGGCUUGAUGAGAGGUGCUAGGUCUGUGCCUGGGAUCCGAACCUGCGAACCCAGGGCCUCUGAAGCAGAAUGUGCGAACUUAACUGCUACGCCACCAGGCUGGACCGACAAAGAUUGGAUUAUUUAAUAGUCACUCCAGCUCUGUAAAUUCUGUAUGCUCCUGGUCACAGCAGUAACAACGCUGAAAAGGACACAUUCAUUUUGUUGACACUGCUUCUGUUCACAGCUCUUCGGGAACCCUCCUUUGGAUCACCGCCCUAGCCUGUCACCACCUCAGUAUCAGAGGCGAGCCGUAUGCUACCGUUGGCUUCGGAUUUGGAACGAGGUCACUUGGAAAAAAGCGGUCCCCAUCCUUCCCUACAAAUCCUCCCAACUUCAAAUCUGGAGGAAAAAGUGGGUGAGCAAGCUGGGCCACCCUCCCUCUCUUCCUUUCUUUUCUUCUUUCUUUCUUGUCAAAACUGGCUUCACUGAAAAUGCAGAACAUGUCAAAAUUGACUCCCUUUGCAUCAAUUGGAUUCUCUCCAACAGCACAGAAUUUCUACCAAAUAGGUUAUUUUGUCGCCUUGUGUGAUACGUGAUGCAUGACCAGUACUAACGCUGCCAAAGAAACAAGUCAAAAUUGCCUGAACUUGGAAUUUUUGAUGAAUACGUUGUUUUAGGACUUUGGAAUAUCGAC
ensembl:lncRNA